rnacentral:rRNA from 1 species
GCACUUUAAGCAGUGAAGAAGACUCCAUGGUUAAUACCCAUGGACGAUGACAUUAGCUGCAGAAUAAGCACCGGCUAACUCUGUGCCAGCAGCCGCGGUAAUACAGAGGGUGCAAGCGUUAAUCGGAAUUACUGGGCGUAAAGCGAGCGUAGGUGGCUUGAUAAGUCAGAUGUGAAAGCCCCGGGCUUAACCUGGGAACGGCAUCUGAUACUGUUAGGCUAGAGUAGGUGAGAGGAAGGUAGAAUUCCGGGUGUAGCGGUGAAAUGCGUAGAGAUCUGGAGGAAUACCGACGGCGAAGGCAGCCUUCUGGCAUCAUACUGACACUGAGGUUCGAAAGCGUGGGUAGCAAACAGGAUUAGAUACCCUGGUAGUCCACGCCGUAAACGAUGUCUACUAGUCGUUGG